GAUGAACGCUGGCGGCGUGCCUAAUACAUGCAAGUCGAGCGAACAGACGAGGAGCUUGCUCCUCUGACGUUAGCGGCGGACGGGUGAGUAACACGUGGAUAACCUACCUAUAAGACUGGGAUAACUUCGGGAAACCGGAGCUAAUACCGGAUAAUAUAUUGAACCGCAUGGCUCAAUAGUGAAAGACGGUUUUGCUGUCACUUAUAGAUGGAUCCGCGCCGCAUUAGCUAGUUGGUAAGGUAACGGCUUACCAAGGCGACGAUGCGUUGCCGACCUGAGAGGGUGAUCGGCCACACUGGAACUGAGACACGGUCCAGACUCCUACGGGAGGCAGCAGUAGGGAAUCUUCCGCAAUGGGCGAAAGCCUGACGGAGCAACGCCGCGUGAGUGAUGAAGGUCUUCGGAUCGUAAAACUCUGUUAUUAGGGAAGAACAAAUGUGUAAGUAACUAUGCACGUCUUGACGGUACCUAAUCAGAAAGCCACGGCUAACUACGUG
rnacentral:rRNA from 1 species